GCAUGAAGUCGGAAUUGCUAGUAAUCGCGGAUCAGCAUGCCGCGGUGAAUACGUUCCCGGGCCUUGUACACACCGCCCGUCACACCAUGGGAGCCGGUAAUACCCGAAGUCAGUAGUCCAACCUCGUGAGGACGCUGCCGAAGGUAGGAUUGGCGACUGGGGGUGAAGUCGUAACAAGGUAGC
rnacentral:rRNA from 1 species